CCCAGGCUUCUACUUUACCCACAGCAUCCUGACUGUGACAGAGGAGGAAUGGAACUCCGGAGAGACCUAUACCUGUGUUGUAGGCCACGAGGCCCUGCCACACCUGGUGACCGAGAGGACCGUGGACAAGUCCACUGGUAAACCCACACUGUACAAUGUCUCCCUGAUCAUGUCUGACACAGGCGGCACCUGCUAUUGACCAUGCUAGCGCUCAACCAGGCAGGCCCUGGGUGUCCAGUUGCUCUGUGUAUGCAAACUAACCAUGUCAGAGUGAGAUGUUGCAUUUUAUAAAAAUUAGAAAUAAAAAAAAUCCAUUCAAACGUC
rnacentral:lncRNA from 1 species